UCAGAGAUGAUUUCCUUCAGUUCGGCUGGACAAGUGACAGGUGCUGCAUGGCUGUCGUCAGCUCGUGUCGUGAGAUGUUGGGUUAAGUCCCGCAACGAGCGCAACCCUCAUCUUUAGUUGCCAUCAUUCAGUUGGGCACUCUAAAGAAACUGCCGGUGAUAAGCCGGAGGAAGGUGGGGAUGACGUCAAGUCCUCAUGGCCCUUACACGCUGGGCUACACACGUGCUACAAUGGCGGUGACAGUGGGCAGCAACCUCGCGAGGGGUAGCUAAUCUCCAAAAGCCGUCUCAGUUCGGAUUGUUCUCUGCAACUCGAGAGCAUGAAGGCGGAAU
rnacentral:rRNA from 1 species